CGUUGGCGCACGGGUGCGUAACGCGUGGGAAUCUGCCCUUUGGUUCGGAAUAACAGCGAGAAAUUGCUGCUAAUACCGGAUGAUGUCGCGAGACCAAAGAUUUAUCGCCAGAGGAUGAGCCCGCGUUGGAUUAGGUAGUUGGUGGGGUAAAGGCCUACCAAGCCGACGAUCCAUAGCUGGUCUGAGAGGAUGAUCAGCCACACUGGGACUGAGACACGGCCCAG
rnacentral:rRNA from 1 species